rnacentral:lncRNA from 1 species
UUUUUAGAUUAAAAACAUAAAAUAAGUGUAAAAUGCACUUUUUAAACGGUUCUUGACUAUGGGCAUGUAUAUUUUAUGGUUGAUGUAAAGUGUAAGAGUUGGACAUUUUUUAUGCCGUAUUCUCCACAUUAAUUGUCUAUUAUAAAAUGAUGGGAUGGAUCCAAAGCUAUGUACUAAUAUAUUUGAUUGGGACUUGCCAGUUAAAAAUGGACAUGGAAAAUUCUCGUUUGUUGUAUGUUCAGUUAGUAUCAAGAUAUACGCCGGGCUAUUCGAUGAAAUUUACAAUACGACCGACACGAGUUAAGAAACAAACAGACAAUUUUUAUCCAAAUGUUUUGUCGAAAUGUUUCCGCCAACAAGGGAAAUGAGGGGUUCCAAAUCAACCGAAGGCUACGAAUGAGUCUGAAAUGACAACGAAUUGAUGAAUGACGGUCGAAAAAUGGAGACAUUAAGGCAACACCCAGCAGGCAGGUUGCAGUCGGGCC